rnacentral:lncRNA from 1 species
CUUAAAGAGACUGAGAAGAGCCUGUUACCACAGCAACCAUCCUUCCUAAUCGGGACCCCUUCCCAAUCCUCUCUCUGGCUUGUUACCCAUGUGUAGUUGGGAGGCAGGUGUCAUGGCAAUCACUCUUUCUUUCUCUGGGUAUUAGCUCACCGGGGUCUAGGUGUGGUACUAGGCCUGGAUACUAUAGCAACCAACAGAGCUAGGAUGGACUCGGCAGAUGUCUGGGAAGGGGCAAGAUUAAGGGGACCAUGGUAACAACUCGAAGGUGGUUCCCAUGGCAACUGGCCUAGGGGGUUUGGGGGGGAGGGCCAUUGAUCCUGGCCCAGGGUAUCCUGAAAUUCUGGGGAGAGGAGAGAAUAAGGUAAGGGUUCGAAGCCCAAAGUAUUGCCAUGGCAAACAACCAGGCUCGGGAGGCGCGGCGGGAUUGGCUGGGGUUGGAGAAGAGCCUCCCUGAGGCCAGCAGGAUUGCUAUGGCAACCUGUGGGCGGGGGGAGAAAGGGAUCCAGGAUUGGCAAUUUGUAGUACCCAGGGUGGGCAGGAUGGAGGUGUACUGUGAAGGGUCACAGUUGCUAUAGCAACCGCGGGGAUCCAGGAGACAACGUGCAGACCGGUUCCCCGUUUCUAUAGCAACCAUUUAAGGAUGGGGAGAAAGAGCUCUAAGGAGGGGCGUUCUAGCCGUUCUAGGGAGGGGGCCACGGAGAAGUGGGCGGGAUUCGAGAUGGGGAAGGCCUGCCGGUUGCUAAGUAACCGGGGCGGGGGGCGGAGCCGGGCACAGGACCGGCUGGGAGGCCGAGAGGAGGGGUGUCGAAGGGCUGGGACCGAGGGCAGCCCCUCCCGGCGCGCGGCCGCCGCCCUGCGCGCUCCCUCGGGGACCGGAAAGGGCGCGCGGGCUGGCACGCGGCGGCGGGGCGCGAGGCCCUCCCCUCCCUCAUCCCCGCGGGCUCGAGCGCGUGCGCGUGCAACCGCCGUCCGCGAGGGCGGCGCGGGGCAGGCGGCGGCCCGCGAGGGCGCGCGCGCCUCCAGCCGCCGGCCUCCAUGAUGGAGGAGCGAGCGGCCCCGCCGCCGCCGCCGCCGCCGCCGCCGCCGCCCCUGCCGCAGCCCGCCGGCCCCCAGCCCCGCCAAGGGCGGCGGGGCGGGGCCGGCGGGGAGCCCCGGGCGGGCCCCUGAGCCGCUGAGCCUGCCCGGCAUCCUGCACUCAUCCAGCACGAGUGGGCGCGCUCUGAGGCGGAGAAGGCGCGCUGGGAGGCCGAGCGGGCCGAGCUGCAGGCCCAGGUGGCUUUUCUCCAAGGGGAGAGAAAGGGG